rnacentral:pre_miRNA from 1 species
ACUACAACAUUCGGACCGUCGGUCUACCGAGCAAUAUCAUCCGUUCGGUGGAAAAUCUUCCCUUUGUCGUAUACC